CGGACGGGGGGCAAGCGGCCGCCAGGGACACCUGCCCUUCCUCCCUCCUCCUCCCUCCCUCCUUCCUCCUCCUCGCCCAGCCCCGCCGGAGCCCCGCAGCAGCCGUGAGAGGCAGCCUGUCUGAUCCCCAUCAAAUGUUGACAGCUUCCCUCUCCCAUCUGCUCCACCGAGACUGUCUGCUGUCACGUGCCUGGAGGCACCAGAGCUGCUUGCUGCAGUCCCAUGGUGGAUCCCCAGCUCUCAGGCACCUCCCUGGCAGCUCUCCUUCCCGCUGGCUUUGGGCAAUAUCUGCUACUUCACCCGCUGCAUCUCCGCCAGCCAAGUGUCCCAGAGAGGUUUCCUCCAGCAAUGCCUUCCAGCAGCUGCAGGGCCACAGAGGCUCCUUAGGGGACAUGUCUCACCUCGUCCCAGCUACCUGCUGGUGGUGACCACUGUGAAGAGCUUUCAGGCCUUCUCUGAAGUCCCAGGGGAGAGUGAUGUGCUAGAAGACAGGUGCACCAGAGACCGAGGUCAGGGAGUGACAAAACUCUGUCCAGGCUUCCCUCCCACACUGUGAGCUGCUGGAGACUGCCUACAGAAGAAAUGCUAUUUGAGUUUGUACCCACAGCGCAGGCCUUUUCUGCAGACUCUGGCUGUGUUUUGAGUUCCCAGUAUACUGCACAUGUGGGCACUCUCUCUUCAGCUGGGCUUUCACAUCCCCAGUCCCAGAAGCCCUGUUACAGUGGGACAGCUAUUGGAGGUCCAGCCCCAAGACAUGCAGGUGAAGACGCUGCUAAAGGAGGAGCUGGUGUGGUCCCCGCUUCCCCGACUGCCACACUGCAAGCAGACAGGUACAGCUCGUGCAGUGUCACUCUGUCUCAGGUAAGGACUCUUAGGUAAGCACAUCCUUGGGUUUCCUGUUGAUCCCAAAUGCUCACUUCCCAAGAUUAGUUUUCAUUUUCAGUUCAGGAAGCAACCUGCAGUUGAAGCCACGGGAUGUGGGCAGCAGAGACUCUUUGUCUAGACAGACAGCUCAUCCCAAGGGUAGAUGCUUGUUUUGGACACCCCCUCAACCCACCUCCCUACAGAGAGUGAGCACAGGUCAGUCUGGGACCCUUGUCUGCUGUGAUCAUGAUCUCUGAAAAGGAGCAACCAGCCAUCGGUGUACGCUGAG